CGCUAGUAAUCGCGAAUCAGAAUGUCGCGGUGAAUACGUUCCCGGGUCUUGUACACACCGCCCGUCACACCAUGGGAGUUGGUAACGCCCGAAGCCAGUGACCCAACUGCAAAGAGGGAGCUGUCGAAGGCGGGACCGAUAACUGGGGUGAAGUCGUAACAAGGUAGC
rnacentral:rRNA from 1 species